rnacentral:lncRNA from 1 species
CAGCUCUGUUUUAAGCACCUCUGUGUCCCCAAGCCCCGCGAUACUUAACUUCUGACGGAGGCCCCUGUGGACACAGAGCCUUAACCCAGAGGAAUGGAUUUAUUUCUUCCCUUGGAAACAACCCGCUGAAGCACAAUUUAAAGUAAUACGUGCCUUUUAAAGAAAAUUUGGAAAGUUCAGAGGUGGAAAGAAGGAGUAGGAAUCACCUGGAGCCCUUCCCACCUGUCCCUGCCCCUGCUCAUUACGGUUUUGGAACACGGCUGGAGUCAAGUCGCGCGUGCAGCUUUAUGUCCUGCGUUUCUCACACGUCCCUCGCAGUCCUCGCUGUAAAUGACUGUGUCGUGUGGAGAAGAUUCACCAAAGUCUUCUCAACAUCUUCCUCAUCAUUGGACAGCCGUUUCCAGCUUUUUUUUUUUUUUUUUGGAAAGUAAUGCCNNNNNNNNNNNNNNNNNNNNNNNUUUUUUUUUCUUUCUGCAUGUAGCGUCGUUUAGAGGUGGAAUGACUGAAAUUCCAGGUGGACUUCCUGGGUUACAGAGAUGUUGCUGGUGUGGGCGGUCAGGGUCUCUCCAAAGGGAGCAUCAGUUCAAGACCCACCAGCAGAUGGUGUGGUUGUGGCCACCCACCCUAGGCAGCCUUAGCUGUGCUUGCCUGCGUGAGCAUGCAUGCGAGCGAAGUUGCUCAGCUGUGUCCGACUCUUUUUGACGCCAUAGACUCUAGCCUGCCAGGCCUCUCUGUCCCAGGGAUUCUCCACGCAGGAACACUGGAGUGGGCUGCCAUGCCCUUCUGCACGGCUCUGGCUGAUUUACUGUGAAAAGCUGUUUUCAGCUGAUGGCUGAGCACGGUCCUGUGGCUUUCAUCUGUUUUCCUUUGGUCCCUUCCGAGAUCACUGUGUAGGAGAGAGAUCCGGUGCCCAGCCGGUGCCCAGAGGACAGGGCGGGGCCGUGCCCAUCUUCCUGCACGUGUGAGGGGGCAGAGUCAGGCUCUGACAGUGCGACUCGACUUGUUCACGACGACCCCAGCCCGGUGACGCGUCCCAUGGGAUGUGAGCUCUCAGCAGGGCGGACGCAGGCAGCCUGCUUGGAAGACAGAGGCCUCAGAGUGAGACCUGAGCAGAGGGUCCCGGCAGGGGUGGGGGGCGCCCUUUUGCCCCCAGGGGACAUCUGCAGUGGCCGGAGACGCUUGAGGUUGUUACACCUGGCGGGAGAGGGGCUGCUUCUGUCCCCUGGGGGGAGUGGACGUGGAGUGAGAGGCUCGGGGGGGCCUUCCGGGUCCUGCUGGGGGAUGGAGGUAGGGUGAGGAGUG